rnacentral:rRNA from 1 species
AUUGAACGCUGGCGGAAUGCUUUACACAUGCAAGUCGAACGGCAGCACGGGGCAACCUGGUGGCGAGUGGCGAACGGGUGAGUAAUACAUCGGAACGUGCCCAAUCGUGGGGGGAUAACGUAGCGAAAGUUACGCUAAUACCGCAUACGAUCUACGGAUGAAAGCGGGGGAUCGCAAGACCUCGCGCGAAUGGAGCGGCCGAUGUCAGAUUAGGUAGUUGGUGGGGUAAAGGCUCACCAAGCCAACGAUCUGUAGCUGGUCUGAGAGGACGACCAGCCACACUGGAACUGAGACACGGUCCAGACUCCUACGGGAGGCAGCAGUGGGGAAUUUUGGACAAUGGGCGCAAGCCUGAUCCAGCCAUUCCGCGUGCAGGAUGAAGGCCUUCGGGUUGUAAACCUCUGUCAUGGGGAAGAAGGAGUGAGGUACCCCAAGAGGAAGCCCCUGCUAACUACGUAG